CGGUUACGAUCGGUGACAGGUGAUGCAUGGUUGUCGUCAGCUCGUGUCGUGAGAUGUUGGUUAAGUCCGCAACGAGCGCAACCCCUAUUGUUAGUUGCCAUCAUUCAGUUGGGCACUCUAGCGAGACUGCCGGUAAUAAACCGGAGGAAGGUGGGGAUGACGUCAAAUCAUCAUGCCCCUUAUGACCUGGGCUACACACGUGCUACAAUGGUUGGUACAACGAGUUGCGAGUCGGUGACGGCGAGCUAAUCUCUUAAAGCCAAUCUCAGUUCGGAUUGUAGGCUGCAACUCGCCUACAUGAAGUCGGAAUCGCUAGUAAUCGCGGAUCAGCACGCCGCGGUGAAUACGUUCCCGGGCCUU
rnacentral:rRNA from 1 species